AACACCGAAAUCGAACUGUUCCUCACCCUAAAUCGAAAACGUUCUUCACCCCAAAAUCAAAAAUGUUCUUCACAUCUGAAAUCGAAAAUCGUUCUUCACACUGAAAUCGAGAAUCGUUCUUCACCCUCAAAUUGAAAAUGUUCAAUCGUUCACACAAAUCGUUGACAAAAAUGGUUCAAUCACUGUGAGGUUCCUUUUUCAUCUUUCAUUCACUAUAUAGAGUACAUUGGGGAUUUAGAACCAAAAACUGAUCCGAGUUUCAUAUCUUCAAGUUCAGGUUUUGACUCAUCGAUCAGGCUCACCUGCAAUGCUGUCACUUAUAUAUUCAGAAAUUCUGAAAAUGCUUCGAUUGUGGGGCCUUUUGUAUUUUGAUGCUGAAAUUUACUACCCUCAUGAUGUUCUGAAUGUUCCAAAAGGAUACCAUAAGCUGAAAAGCAAGGAAUCAGACCAAGCACACAUAAUGACAUCAGGGAACUUAUUGGUUGAGGUCACUUCAUUGGGUUCAACACUUGCUAUUAAACUAUUAAGCAACACAAGAAUUGAGGAUUCUCGGUUUGGGGUGUAUAGUCAUCGCCUUGAUGAUAAAUGGCUUGUUGGCGGUGCUUCAAACACUGGUGGAGUUGUUCUUAAACAGCUAUUCACCGAUGAUCAAUUAAAGAAACUGAGUGAACAAAUCAAUCCCUCACAAUCAUCUCUUCUGGACUACUAUCCUCUUCCAAAAGCUGGUGAAAGAUUUCCAAUUGCAUAUAUUUAAGCUUACACUGCCAACUAUAAGUGCUUAAUUUAUUUCCAUGGUUAAAUCAUUGCAAUAUGCUACAAGUGUAUGUGAUGAUAACCAGUUGUCUAAUUCAUAUUUUGCUUCAAUUGCCUUAAUGGAACAAAUAUUAUUCUCCUUUUCAGGUUCACAAAGAGUGCAGCCUCCUGUACCAUCACAUCCAACUGAGAUGGAUGGUGUCCCAAAAAUAUCUUUACCUGUUUUUGGUCUCGCCUCAUACAAGUUCAAGGGACCCCUGUGGACUCCAAGUGGUGGAUACGAGCGCCAAUUAUCCAACUCUCUUUUACAUAAUGCUGAUAAAUGGUUAAGGCUGCUUCAGGAAAAAAGAAAAGGUAUACAAGAUGUUAAGCUCUCUCCUCUGUAAGCUCUCUCCUCUGUACCGUUACCAGGGAGAAAUCCAAGAUCACUGUUACCUCUGACAGCAAUUUCUCCAAAAGGUAUUUGAAGUACCUGACAAAGAAGUAUUUGAAAAAGCAUUAUGUCAAUAGCUUGAAUUUGAAUAUAAACUGAGUUGUAUCCUUCUCUAGAAGGUGUGUGAUAUUGUUAUGCAUAGUUUAUUUAGUUUUGUUUGCAUAUUGAUCAGGAAAAAUUUAGAUGCAGAUACAUGGAAGUGAAGAUAGCAGGACUUUCAAAGUUAUGGAUACAUCAACAUACAAAUAUAAAAAAAAGGAUUUUUAUUUUAUUUUAUGUGAAAAUUCAAAUAUAGAAAAUAAUAAUAUGGAGUUGGAUAUAUACUAAGAUGUUAAGGAUAUGAUUUAUUUUGUAAUUAGUUUUUAUCAAUAUAAUAUGAAAUCAAUCUUUCUAUAUUGAACUAUUUGAAUUUAUUUAAUAGAAAAUGGUAUAAUAGUUUAAUUUUAGUUAUUUAGCUUUGUCAUGGUUCAA